rnacentral:lncRNA from 1 species
UUCUCGUCUUUUAGAAGCUUAUAACUUGCUGUUGGACAUAAAUAUAUAUAUAUAUACAUAAGAACGUGUGUUGAAGCUUUUCGAUAGUACAGGUCACAGGAGAAUCGAAAGUAAAAAAAUGCAUUUCUGUUAUCAUCUUUUUUUGUUUUUAUUAUAAAUAGUAAUGCUAAAAUAAGCUUCUCCCGUUUCAGUCACCCGAACCCCCCUAAAAAAAAGGCUCAAAAAUUUUUCGCCUCGCUUCGCUCUGCGAUAUGCCUCACUUUAAAUGGACAUG